GUGGAUAUGGAGGUGAGCUGUAUUUAUUGUUUGUAUAAGAGUUUUGCCCCUAAUUGUUAGAAGUGAGGCCAAAUGUCUGUUGUGUUUAUGUUGCAGAGUCAGAAAUUGGAUCGCCCCGCUCUUGACACUUCUGUUAUAGACAGCCCAUCUACGCCUUUGUUUUCCUCCUCCUCUGACAGCAACAUCAGCUCUCCAACACCCUUCUCCAAAACCUAAACACAAAGAUUGUUCUGGAGCCACUAAAAAGAUUCGCCUCAUUAGUCCAGAGUAUGUCAUAUACACUGACACAGAACUAGAACUAGCAAGAAGUGCUUACUUUGAAAAGCAGCGUGCUGGACAAGACGAAGACUACACCAUGCCAAAAGACUUGUGCUGUAGACUCAUUAGGAAUACAGUAACAGGCAUGAUUGCUAUGAAAAGAGCGUCCGAGGAUGAUUUUAAGUACCCAGGCUCCCGUGAACUGACUGCCAUGGCUAAGCGUCUAGUAGAAUACUACCCAAUGCUGUGAGACAAGUCUACGUCCAAUACACCUGAAUGGGUAAGUCUCUCAUUUUGUUGAGGAAUUAUUUUUUUAAUCUGUUACCAAUGGUAAUAAUAGUUUAUUUUUAUUGUUUUGUUAUUUUAGGAAAUGGUGAAGAAGCAGUUGUUGAAAAGGGUUCAGAAUGUGACAACUCCAAAAAAGAAGCAAGGUCCAACCCCAUCAAGAAAAGGACCUAGAAGCCUAAAAUUCCAGAGCAGCCAGGCGACGUGCACUGAAGAGAGUGAUGAACCUUUCUCCUCCCCUGCUUCAGUCUCUUCAGCUGCUUCAUCAGUCGCCUCGUCAUCUUCCUCCACUGUGAUCCUAGAGAAGUCAACUCCUUCUACAAGUACUUCCCAAGAGGUGGAUCUCUUUAGUGCUAUAGAGAGCCCACAGAGCCAAGCGAGACACUAUAAAACUCUGCAGGAUUUGUACAAAACUAAGAACAAACCCAACAAGGAAGAUGUAUCCCAGCUGCUGGAAUUGGAGUUCCAAUCUAGACGAGCUUUCAUUGACUCUGAUGUGAUGAAGGAACAGGACAGGUCUAUGAAGAUACUGCAGGCUUAUCCAUGUUUUAAAGAACUUGGCCAUAUCAUCGAUGAACUCCAGCGAAUCCUUGAUAAAGGAAACCCCUUCUUCACAAUGGAGCUGAAGAAACGUUGGCUGAGAUUUUUUAACCAGGCACAGUUUUAUGGGGUGUUCAAAAAAAUCAUAGGACCACCACUGCAGGACCAAGGUAAGGAUGAUUUAUUUGCUGUUACCCACAUACACAAAGACCUAAAAUUAUUAUGAUUUAUUAUAAUUGUUUAAACAGUAAAGAAUGCACUUGCUGUCCUGAAAGUACUGCCUCAGAUGUUC
rnacentral:lncRNA from 1 species